rnacentral:lncRNA from 1 species
GGCAAGAAGUACAAGAAGUAAUUCAUGUACAGACCACCCUCUUUACAUGAUCCCUUCUUUGAAGAGAUUAUCUCAUCACUUUCUGUUUCUCUCCUGGUAAGCACUGCUGCAGCACGUCUGCUCCUUUACUUCUUCCUACUCUUUUGCAACGUGCUGUUCAACACAACUGCAGUGAAGAAAAUACUCCUAAAGGAUUUUUUCUUCUGGGCUUUCAUUGUGUUUCCAAGGCGUACCUUCAAAAUUUUAAAUGCUACGCUGAGAUCUUGGCCGUGCAAAUGCUGGAGAUUUGUCAAGAACGUCCUCUGGGAGCCUGUGAUCUGUUUCAGUGGCAACAGCAUCCAUGAAGUUCCAGUUUGCUGCCCCUUCCUGGCUGUUAUGGAUGCGCUGUGAAUUCUGCAGUCUUUGGUACCCAACACAAACAGGUAAGCAGUCACCCAACACACUGCUUCCACUUUAUUGGAGGAGGUUGUUUUACAGCAUUCACUUCAGUCACGAUACCUCUUGACUGAAGUCCUUCAUUUGCUAUGCGGUCAUUUACAUUCUGUUGUGAUCUAGGUUUAGUUUAUGCUUCCUGAAUUUCGUCUGAGUGGCGGUAUUCCCUCUUGACUCAGUCACAUACCUCUAAGUUGUCAUAUAUGUUUUCACCUCCUGUCAACAUUCAUGUUUCACGCACCCUUUUCCCAGGAAAUCUCAUGUGCUGAUAACAGGCCAGCAGGUGUUUCCUACCAAAUGUUGUGGCUGCUCAUCUCCUCUUCCAGCCUCACCUGCCUUUCCCAGAACAGACAGAUUAUAUUCAGAAUAUCUUGCAGAGUCCUGAGAAAUAAUAUCCUAUAGCACAGGAAAGCACAGACAGUCAUUUUCUUUCCUGUUGUACCCAUUUUAGAGAUUUGGCUACCUUUAAAUCAUGCUCUUGUUUCAGAAGUUCCUUUGCCUCCUUAUGCCUCACUUGUAGAAGCAGCUGCUGAAAUACCUGAACAGCCUUCGGAAGUAGCUUCUUUUGGCUGUUCACAGAGUAAAGCCCAUACCUGCAGGCAAAAAAUUCUUAGCUAUUAGAAAAAUCCCAUUUUAUUUUCAUUGUUGUGAAAUGGCCUACACAGAUAUCAAGGUGGUUUUCUUUUGUUUGCUUGUUUUUGUUUUUAAAUCAAAUGAAAUAAUUUUCUUUGUCAGGACUGAUUUGUUAGCAUGUCAAAUGCAUAGAAACAAAUCUUCUGAUCAUUCCCCUUGCACUUAUAUUUAGUCUGUGUUUCUCCAAUUCUUCAGGAGGAAGACCUCCAUAUUUUGCUAGUCUUACCGAUACAGGCAAUGUCAGAAUCCAAAUGGAAGCUGGCUUUUGUCCAUCUUCUGUCUCACAAAUACGGAUUACUUUUUCUCCCAUAUCAGUUUUGAAUGU